CAGCCGCCGCGGUAAAACGUAGGUGGCAAGCGUUGUCCGGAAUUAUUGGGCGUAAAGGGCUCGCAGGCGGUUUCUUAAGUCUGAUGUGAAAGCCCCCGGCUCAACCGGGGAGGGUCAUUGGAAACUGGGAAACUUGAGUGCAGAAGAGGAGAGUGGAAUUCCACGUGUAGCGGUGAAAUGCGUAGAGAUGUGGAGGAACACCAGUGGCGAAGGCGACUCUCUGGUCUGUAACUGACGCUGAGGAGCGAAAGCGUGGGGAGCGAACAGGAUUAGAGACCCCCGUAGUCCCUGUCUCUUAUAC
rnacentral:rRNA from 1 species